rnacentral:tRNA from 1 species
GCUCCCGUAGUUCAAUGGAUAGAACAGCGGUUUCCGGUACCGUCGAUCUGGGUUCGACUCCCGGCGGGAGUACCA